AGAGUUUGAUCCUGGCUCAGGAUGAACGCUGACAGAAUGCUUAACACAUGCAAGUCGAUUCAAGUUACCUUCGGGUAACGAGGAUGGCGGACGGGUGAGUAACGCGUAAGGAACUUGCCUCUUGGUCUGGGACAACUGUUGGAAACGACAGCUAAUACCGGAUAUUAUGAGAUUCUCGCAUGGGAAACUUAUGAAAGCUAUAUGCGCCAAGAGAGAGCCUUGCGUUCCAUUAGCUAGUUGGUGGGGUAAUGGCCCACCAAGGCGACGAUGGAUAGCCGGCCUGAGAGGGUGAACGGCCACAAGGGGACUGAGACACGGCCCUUACUCCUACGGGAGGCAGCAGUGGGGAAUAUUGGACAAUGGGCCACAAGCCUGAUCCAGCAAUUCUGUGUGCACGAUGAAGGUCUUCGGAUUGUAAAGUGCUUUCAGUUGGGAAGAAGAAAGUGACGGUACCAACAGGAGAAGCGACGGCUAAAUACGUGCCAGCAGCCGCGGUAAUACGUAUGUCGCAAGCGUUAUCCGGAUUUAUUGGGCGUAAAGCGCGUCUAGGCGGAAAAAUAAGUCUGAUGUUAAAAUGCGGGGCUCAACUCCGUAUUGCGUUGGAAACUGUUUUUCUAGAGUACUGGAGAGGUGGGCGGAACUAC
rnacentral:rRNA from 1 species